rnacentral:rRNA from 1 species
CAGCAGCCGCGGGAAUACCGAGGGUGCGAGCGUUAAUCGGAUUUACUGGGCGUAAAGCGUGCGUAGGCGGCUUCUUAAGUCGGAUGUGAAAUCCCUGAGCUUAACUUAGGAAUUGCAUUCGAUACUGGGAAGCUAGAGUAUGGGAGAGGAUGGUAGAAUUCCAGGUGUAGCGGUGAAAUGCGUAGAGAUCUGGAGGAAUACCGAUGGCGAAGGCAGCCAUCUGGCCUAAUACUGACGCUGAGGUACGAAAGCAUGGGGAGCAAACAGGAUUAGAUACCCCUGUAGUCCCUGUCUCUUAUAC